UACAGAGGUAGCAAGCGUUGUUCGGAAUUACUGGGCGUAAAGGGCGCGUAGGCGGCCUUCUAAGUCAGACGUGAAAUCCCCCGGCUUAACCUGGGAACUGCGUCUGAUACUGGAGGGCUUGAGUGCGGGAGAGGGAUGUGGAAUUCCAGGUGUAGCGGUGAAAUGCGUAGAUAUCUGGAGGAACACCGGUGGCGAAGGCGGCAUCCUGGACCGACACUGACGCUGAGGCGCGAAAGCUAGGGUAGCAAACGGG
rnacentral:rRNA from 1 species